rnacentral:lncRNA from 1 species
AAACAACUUAUGAUUUGAUUCUGUAUGAAAACUCACUCAUUAAGAUGAAUGGAAUUUCUUAGAUCGCCUGUCAGAACGUAAGGGUAAGUGUAAAAAUAGUGGCUUCCAAAACUAUUAGACUACUCUAUACUAAUUUGUGUACUUUUAAUCUUUGAACUAGAUAGCUGUAUAAUUUCAAAUAUAAAGAGGUGCUUAGAUCACUGGAUGGACAUUUAAACCACAGCAACAGUAGAGACAGAGAGUAAGUUUGUGACUUAUUUCCUCUUGGUCCACUUAGGCGUAACACAAGGUGUCCACAUUUCGUGCCAGAGUUUAAUCUUUUAAAAUAGGAUCACUUAACAAGAUACAUUAGUUCCAACCAAGCUAUUCAGAUUAAAAAGACUUCUCAUAUACCUUUUCACCACAGAAGAGCUGUUGACUGCAGACUUCAUAUUCAGCUAACUUGUGCUCAACUCUGUUGAUGGUAAAAAGCAAAACUUUUGAGAUUUAUUUGGUGGAACAGAAACAGAACAGGUCUAAUGAGCUUGUUGUAACCUGUGAUAGAAGGCAGCACAGGAGUCCACGUGAUCUGGAGUUUGUUCUGGAAUGGCUGAUACUUUCCUGGUGGAAACACAUUUAUGGGCCCACACAGAAACAGAAGUGGCAGAAAUGUAAUGCAUGAGAAUGAGUGGUGAAACUUGCUGCUUUAACAACUUGGAAAUGAAAACAUAAUGUGGUACACAACUCAUUAAUUAAUUUUAUUGCAACUUGAUGCCAAUUUUUAUUAGAUGUUUUUAUUGGAUUAGGAAUUACAUUUGGAGAUUAUGGUAAAAAUAUGAUGGUGUUUGCCUAUUCUCACAGUAGAUGUAAAAUUUAAAUGGUCUUAUUUUAAUAUGUAUUGCUUCUAUAAUUUAGCUUUUGCCAUUUGGCAAACCCUUUAGAGUCAAAAAUUUGGCAUAAAAUCAAGUCUAACUAUUUGCAGUUAGAGAUUAAUGAUCUGUCCAUAAAUUUUCUUUACCGUAUGCUUAAAUUCCUUAGUAUCAAGUGCUUCCACUUACUAAUGUUACUUUAGCAGUUUGUAAAUGACAUUAACAAAUAACAGUGAUUUUAUGGAGGUCCAGUGGCAUAACUAACUCCCAUGACACUACCUUAUCUUCCUUCUCGCAAUUAAAAGAAAUAUUUUAAUCCAAACAGUACAUCUGUCAGAGAACUGUCAAAAAGAGAAGGCUAAUAGGAAUAUCCACUACAUAUCCUUUUAUAUACUCUGAAAGAAUCUCAUCACAUGUAUGGAUUUAGUGAGCACGCACUGUCAGUUGAUGCAAGAAGAAUUAGCAGUCAUGCAAGAGUUUUCAUUGAUUUAGACAGGGAAGAGAAGACUCUGAGGACUCUGUACCACUACUGUUUUCCUCUUUUAUUUUUUUUCCUGCCACAGAGAGCCUCUGUUCACAAACAAGAUCUGUGAGUCAAUUCAUAAAAAGGAAAGCCAUCUCUGGUGUCACUGCGUAGUGUUCAGUUUUAAUAAACAUUUAAUUGAUCCAAGUCUUUACCUCA